CCCAUGGCUGCGCCGGGCGGAGCGGAACCGGCGAGGUGAAGCCCCCGGGCCGGUGGCCGGAGCGCGUGGCGGGGGCGCCGGCUCCAUGGGCAGCAGCGCACAGCGGCACGAUGAUGGACGUUAACAGCAGCGGCCGCCCGGACCUCUACGGGCACCUCCGCUCUUUGCUCCUGCCGGAGGUGGGGCGCGGGCUGCCGGACCUGAGCCCCGACGGCGCCGGCCCGGUCGCGGGCUCCUGGGCGCCUCACCUGCUGCGUGGGGUCCCAGAGGUGACCGCCAGCCCGGUGCCCACCUGGGACGCGCCGCCGGACAAUGCCUCCGGCUGCUGGGAGCAGAUCAACUACGGCAGAGCCGAGAAAGUUGUGAUCGGUUCCAUCCUGACGCUCAUCACGCUGCUGACGAUCGCCGGCAACUGCCUGGUGGUGAUCUCUGUGUGCUUCGUCAAGAAGCUCCGCCAGCCCUCCAACUACCUGAUCGUGUCCCUGGCGCUGGCCGACCUCUCGGUGGCCGUGGCGGUCAUGCCCUUCGUCAGCGUCACCGACCUCAUCGGGGGCAAGUGGAUCUUUGGCCACUUCUUCUGCAACGUCUUCAUCGCCAUGGACGUCAUGUGCUGCACGGCCUCGAUCAUGACCCUGUGCGUGAUCAGCAUCGACAGGUACCUUGGGAUCACGAGGCCGCUCACGUACCCGGUGAGGCAGAAUGGGAAGUGCAUGGCCAAAAUGAUUCUCUCCGUCUGGCUUCUUUCUGCCUCCAUCACGUUACCGCCGCUCUUCGGAUGGGCUAAGAACGUCAACGAUGACAAGGUGUGCUUGAUCAGCCAGGACUUCGGCUACACCAUCUACUCCACGGCAGUGGCAUUUUAUAUCCCCAUGUCGGUCAUGCUGUUCAUGUACUACCGGAUUUACAAGGCCGCCCGCAAGAGCGCCGCCAAGCACAAGUUCCCCGGCUUCCCUCGCCCCGAGGAGCCCGACAGCAUCAUCUCCCUGAACGGCAUGGUGAAGCUCCAGAAGGAGGUGGAGGAGUGUGCCAACCUUUCGAGACUCCUCAAACACGAGAGGAAAAACAUCUCCAUCUUUAAGAGGGAGCAGAAAGCGGCCACCACCUUGGGGAUCAUCGUCGGGGCUUUCACCGUGUGCUGGCUGCCCUUUUUCCUCCUCUCGACGGCCAGACCCUUCAUCUGCGGCACGGCCUGCAGCUGCAUCCCGCUGUGGGUGGAGAGGACAUUUCUGUGGCUGGGCUAUGCAAACUCCCUCAUUAACCCUUUUAUAUAUGCCUUCUUCAACCGGGACCUGAGGACCACCUACCGCAGCCUGCUCCAGUGCCAGUACCGGAAUAUCAACCGCAAGCUCUCGGCCGCAGGCAUGCAUGAGGCCCUGAAGCUCGCCGAGAGGCCGGAGAGACCCGAGUUUGUGCUUCUCACAGUGGGAGAGAUGGUGUAGAGGAGCGACCGGACAGCAGGAAGUCCACUUGGAACAUAAAAGUUUGUCACCUGUAGGAAAAUGAGGUAUAACUGUAUCCACAGAGAACUGCAGAGCUAGAGGAAGCUCAUGGGUGACCUAGGACAACCCCCUACUGUUUAGCAGGUGAGAACAUGCUGGAGUAGAGCUGUGUUUUGUCUGAAUUUGUUUAAAGGAACGUGGUGGACGGCAGUGCUUUGCAAGCUAUCUUUCGGGAAGCAUUAUUUAAAAAAAUGUGUUGCACAGCUGUGCGUUUGCAAACUACAAUAAAAAUGAAUUACAAGAAAAGUGAGAAGAAAAUAUAAAAUAUAAGUUCAGUUUUUUUCAUAUUAGGAUCAGUAGACCUAAAAGUGCAGCUCAGGAAAUACGGUCAGAACAAACAUAACAUGGAGAACAAGAAAAAAAAAGUCAACCCUGGCCGUCGUCCCCCGAAAGCGUACAGUUAGGGACAGCCGGACGGUUCCCGGACUGAGAAACGACGAGCAUAAUCAUGACGUGUGCAGGACACUGUGUGCAAGGCCUGUCCACAGCAUGUGGUGAAUGCUGACCUGAAGGCACUGAAAGAACACAUCGCUCCCGAAGAGGAGUUGUGUGAGCAAAACAGGUUUACACUGUCUCGAUUAUUGGUGGGAUUGAACUUCAUUUUCAUGCACGGUUUGACCAGCUGUCGUUUCCUCUUCUGCGGGUUGUCUCCCUCAUAUCUUAGCCUGUUUGCCAAUUGUUAAGGUACGUAUUUGUGAUGCAGGGAACUCGUUUUUACAUGUUGACUUUUGCAGCUUGUUUUGGGGAAAGCACUUUAUGCUUCUGUACCCCUACUAGUUACAAUAUGAAAUGUGUGCAUCAGAUAUUUCAUAUAUGGAUGACUGGAGUUCCUGGGAAUAUUUGUCCACGGUUGCUGUUGCAGGUAGGUGGAGUUUGUUAGAUUUGAAUGAUGUUAGGCUCGGUGGGGGAUGCAAAUAAUAUACAGAUGAGCCUAUUUUCCUAUUUGCCCUAACAAUGUUGAUUAAUCCAUUAACGAAUGAAAGCCAGAAAACCCUCAGAAUGGGGUUAUUUUUCAGAUAAUUCUCAUUUUAAAUACAUCUUAUUUGUAACUUUGGAAUAUUAAAGAAUUAUCUGGAGAAGUGUGUGUUUGAGGGAGGUGGGCACCUUUGACAAAAUGCAGCAUCCUGGCCAGUCUGUAGGAGACAUGACAGAUACUCAGGUGAAAGAGAGUUAAGUAACAACUACUAUAGUCCUGGAAACAGAGAUCUUUGCAUGUAGAACAGUUCUUAUAAUCUGGAGAAAAAGAUGGGAGAUAGAGAGAGGAGAGAAUUGCAAGGGAUUUUCCAGUAUAAACAGUACAGGGAGUGCAAAGCUUUAACUCUCCUUGAGAUCCUUUUUAAUCACUUUUAUUUUUGGUAAUAUAAUCUCCUUUUUCCCCCUUCUUGACACAUUUCAAUAAUUAGAAUUAUUGGAAAAAAUAGGAUUUAUUUUUAUUGAAAUUCACUUGGUGGUCAUCUUUGAAAUAAUAUUUUUGUUCCAAAAAGGUUUUACUGAAUUUUUAUAAAGUGGCUUUCCACAACCAACUAGAGUCUGCACACUCCUUUUUGGUAACUUUCAGAAGAAUCCGUAACUGAUCAGACAAAAGCACAAACGUGUCCCUUAACCAUUCCUACUUGAAAAGAAUAUGCCUGGUUUUCAGUGCAAUGUACCUGUGGUAUAUCUGGCAGAAUUGAAGUUGCUAAAAUUGUUAAGCAGAUUCCGAGAUGAUUUGGGAAGUUUGGCUUGCUUCCCAUCACUGGCAUGCUGGGAUGUGCUAAGAUUCCCACCACUAGCAUUCAGGGAAGUGCUAAGAUUGGACUCCUACAUAAAAGUGUUCAAGAAAUAGGUUCACCUAAUUAGGUUCAAAACUAUAUGAAGCCCAGGUGUCCCCAGUCUUCAGGGAUCUGUCUUUUCCUUUGACACCCUGAGUCACAUGUGGCAGCAGGGAGUCCUGUCCUCAUUAUCUUUCCCUCCCUAGGUAUCUGAGAAAUCUUCAAGUGGCUGCGUAGUUACUUUAUGGAGUACAUGUGCAAAAAACUGUAGGUGGCCAAUAGGUCUUCAGUUUGCCCAAAGUGAGAAAUCACCCGUGCCCCUCCUUACCCCAUGU